rnacentral:sRNA from 1 species
CGGCAGAACUGCUCGCGCCUUUUAUUGGUGACAUCGCCGCUGAAGGGAUCGGGAAAGCUAUUCAUGGCGGCACGGCGUUCUUGCGCAAAAAUCUGCAACGGCAGCAGCGCUAUGCCGCAGAAGUCCUGACUGAAGAGUGGCGCAUGGCCCCCGGUCCGCUGGAAGUGGCAUGGUUUGCGGAAGAAACCGCUGCUGUUGAACGUGCGGUUGAUGCAUUAACCAAACGGCUGGAAAAACUGGAGGGCAAAUGA